AUACGGAGGAUGCGAGCGUUAUCCGGAUUUAUUGGGUUUAAAGGGAGCGUAGGUGGGAUAUUAAGUCAGCUGUGAAAGUUUGGGGCUCAACCUUAAAAUUGCAGUUGAUACUGGUUUCCUUGAGUACGGUAUAGGUGGGCGGAAUUCGUGGUGUAGCGGUGAAAUGCUUAGAUAUCACGAAGAACUCCGAUCGCGCAGGCAGCUCACCGGGCCGGAACUGACACUGAUGCUCGAAAGUGCGGGUAUCAAACAGGAUUAGAUACCCUGGUAGUCCGCACAGUAAACGAUGAAUACUCGCUGUUUGCGAUACACUGUAAGCGGCCAAGCGAAAGCGUUAAGUAUUCCACCUGGGGAGUACGCCGGCAACGGUGAAACUCAAAGGAAUUGACGGGG
rnacentral:rRNA from 1 species